rnacentral:lncRNA from 1 species
CAUCAAAUCCUAAGCUUUUUAGCCAAAGACUAAAACACCGAUUGGUAAGGGAGCUGGAGGAGGGAGAAGCUCUAGUUCCACGUCCACGACCGGGUCAGUGCCUUGGCGUCCAGAAGGGAGGCGCUACCCGACAAGAAGCUCAAGUUGCGGAUCAAGAACACCCUCUGUUCUUGAGUCGGCAUUCUGCAUCAACUCUACUACAUCUUCACUGACGUCUU